rnacentral:rRNA from 1 species
AUUGAACGCUGACGGCAGGCCUAACACAUGCAAGUCGAGCGAGCGGCGGACGGGUGAGUAAUGUAUGGGGACUGCCCGAUAGAGGGGGAUAACUACUGGAAACGGUGGCUAAUACCGCAUACUAUCGGAUAACCCAUAUGGGAUUAGCUAGUAGGGGGGGUAAAGGCUCACCUAGGCGACGAUCCCUAGCUGGUCUGAGAGGAUGAUCAGCCACCUUGGGACGUAGACACGCCCCAGACUCCUACGGAGUCACCAUUGGGGAAUAUGGCAGAAUGGUCGCAAGCCUGAUGCAGCCAUGCCGCGUGUAUGAAGAAGGCGUUAUGGUUGUAAAGUACUUUCAGCGGGGAGGCGUUACCCGCAGAAGAAGCGCCGGCUAACGCCGGGCCAGCAGCCGCGGGAAUAC